UGCAAAGGUUGAUAAAGCUUCCUUUGGAGAUGGGGAAGGCCUGGAGAACACACGCGUUUGUUCGCCUUCCUAUGGCACAGUAAUCACUUUCUCAGGCUCAGCUGUUUUCUUAAAAUUGACCAUGUAACGUGAAGAGUGAGUUUUGGAAGACAGAGAGACAGACAGACAGACAGACACAGAGAGACAGAGACAGAGGAAAAGGGAGAGAAACGGAGAGAGAUCUUACUUCAGAUGCUGCCCUGGAAGUUAUCACAUGCUAUUCUUUGUGCAUCUCUGGGGAGCGCUUCCCUGUGCCCCUGCAAACGUUGCUCUGUAUUUCCCCUGCACCGCAAUCGUUGGAGCACCAUGGCACGUUAAACAAGGAGAUUUCUAUUUUAUGCAGGGCCAGGCUUGGACUAUUAUGAAUGUUGCUGAACACUGUUAA
rnacentral:lncRNA from 1 species